CUACUGCGGAGGAAUUGGCCAAAGGCGCCAGCGUUGCGCAGGAAGGACUUGCUGUUCCUCCGCGGCGUGAGCCUGCGCCUUCUGCGUUGGCAAGUAGGCCUUCGCCUGCUGAUGUUCUUGGUCCCGGUGCUUCUGAUCCUUCGAUCACAGGUUGGACUGAUGCCUUGCGCGAGGUUCAUUCCUUGGUCGGAGAUCGUUUUCGUCAGAAG